rnacentral:rRNA from 1 species
GAUGAACGCUAGCGACAGGCUUAACACAUGCAAGUCGAGGGGCAGCGGGGGUAGCGAUACCCGCCGGCGACCGGCGCACGGGUGAGUAACGCGUAUGCAACUUGCCUAUCAGAGGGGGAUAACCCGGCGAAAGUCGGACUAAUACCGCAUGAAGCAGGGGCCCCGCAUGGGGAUAUUUGCUAAAGAUUCAUCGCUGAUAGAUAGGCAUGCGUUCCAUUAGGCAGUUGGCGGGGUAACGGCCCACCAAACCGACGAUGGAUAGGGGUUCUGAGAGGAAGGUCCCCCACAUUGGUACUGAGACACGGACCAAACUCCUACGGGAGGCAGCAGUGAGGAAUAUUGGUCAAUGGCCGAGAGGCUGAACCAGCCAAGUCGCGUGAGGGAUGAAGGUUCUAUGGAUCGUAAACCUCUUUUAUAAGGGAAUAAAGUGCGGGACGUGUCCCGUUUUGUAUGUACCUUAUGAAUAAGGAUCGGCUAACUCCGUGCCAGCAGCCGCGGUAAUACGGAGGAUCCGAGCGUUAUCCGGAUUUAUUGGGUUUAAAGGGUGCGUAGGCGGCCUUUUAAGUCAGCGGUGAAAGUCUGUGGCUCAACCAUAGAAUUGCCGUUGAAACUGGGGGGCUUGAGUAUGUUUGAGGCAGGCGGAAUGCGUGGUGUAGCGGUGAAAUGCAUAGAUAUCACGCAGAACCCCGAUUGCGAAGGCAGCCUGCCAAGCCAUUACUGACGCUGAUGCACGAAAGCGUGGGGAUCAAACAGGAUUAGAUACCCUGGUAGUCCACGCAGUAAACGAUGAUCACUAGCUGUUUGCGAUACACUGUAAGCGGCACAGCGAAAGCGUUAAGUGAUCCACCUGGGGAGUACGCCGGCAACGGUGAAACUCAAAGGAAUUGACGGGGGCCCGCACAAGCGGAGGAACAUGUGGUUUAAUUCGAUGAUACGCGAGGAACCUUACCCGGGUUUGAACGCAUUCGGACCGAGGUGGAAACACCUUUUCUAGCAAUAGCCGUUUGCGAGGUGCUGCAUGGUUGUCGUCAGCUCGUGCCGUGAGGUGUCGGCUUAAGUGCCAUAACGAGCGCAACCCUUGCCACUAGUUACUAACAGGUAAAGCUGAGGACUCUGGUGGGACUGCCAGCGUAAGCUGCGAGGAAGGCGGGGAUGACGUCAAAUCAGCACGGCCCUUACAUCCGGGGCGACACACGUGUUACAAUGGCGUGGACAAAGGGAGGCCACCUGGCGACAGGGAGCGAAUCCCCAAACCACGUCUCAGUUCGGAUCGGAGUCUGCAACCCGACUCCGUGAAGCUGGAUUCGCUAGUAAUCGCGCAUCAGCCAUGGCGCGGUGAAUACGUUCCCGGGCCUUGUACACACCGCCCGUCAAGCCAUGGGAGCCGGGGGUACCUGAAGUCCGUAACCGAAAGGAUCGGCCUAGGGUA